GUGCUCGCUUCGGUAGCACCUGUACUAAAAUUGGAACGACACAGAGAAGAAUAGCAUGGCCCCUGCACAAGGAUAACAUGCAAAUUCACGAAGUGUUCCAUAUUUUU